rnacentral:rRNA from 1 species
UACAGAGGGUGCGAGCGUUAAUCGGAAUUACUGGGCGUAAAGCGCGCGUAGGCGGCUUUGCAAGUCGGGUGUGAAAUCCCCAGGCUUAACCUGGGAACUGCAUUCGAGACUGCAUUGCUAGAGUAUGGGAGAGGGAAGUGGAAUUUCCGGUGUAGCGGUGAAAUUCGUAGAUAUUCGCAAGAACACCAGUGGCGAAGGCGGCUCACUGGCCCGGUACUGACGCUGAGGUGCGAAAGCGUGGGGAGCAAACAGG